rnacentral:lncRNA from 1 species
UUGACAAGAAACACUUCUGUUACAGACACUUGUCUUACUUUGUUAAAGCGGUUUACCUGUCCAGCAGAAAGGUUACAGGGUCACCAAGAUCCCCAAGCGUCCCCCAUCGUUUAUGUUGACCCGGCUUUUUAGCUCUUGUCCGGUCUACCUCCGUUUUAAGCGCCCGUUAUUCCUCCAGAGUCUCCGGUAUUUACUUUGUUUUCUUGCUU